CUGUUUUUUUCCUACAGUUACAGAUGAACACAAGUCAUAACGUACAAAGAUUUUACGGAACACCUUUGCUAUGAAUUGGUGAUUUUUUCCUAGACCCUACAGACCUUGGACACAGAUUUGAUGAGUUCCACUUUGGCAAAUUCAUCAAUGUAUCUCAAGCAAGUGUUCUUCUUUGACAUCCAUCCAGCACUUGGAAAGUUGUUGCUUGCAGGAGCUGGCUACAUGGCUGAUACCAAUGUCACGUUUCCCUUUGAGAGGAUCGGGGAUGACCAACUCACCAGGGCCCAACUUCAUAACGCUGCUUAACGAAUUGGAUUGAUGCUGUGCAAUUGAACAACAUUUAUUUAACUAUUGUUUGAAGUUUGGCAUGAUGUGGAUAAAUUUGAAGAAACUAUAAAUACAUGAUGAACUUAAGGGUACACCUAUAU